rnacentral:tRNA from 1 species
GGGCGAAUGGCGGAACUGGCAGACGCGCUAGGUUCAGGACCUAGUGUUCGCAAGGACUUGGGGGUUCAAGUCCCCCUUCGCCCACCA